ACUUUCUCUUCUCGUUCUUUUUCUUUUUUUUUUCCCACAAUUUUCGUAACGAAACAAGAAUUUUUGUGCUUCGGCUAUGGCUCGGAGAAGAGCCUCACCUCGAUCUCCAUCCUCCACUCUCUCGCCGUUUUUACCAACCUCAACUUCGACGUUUCCUCUCUCAACCGCCUCUUCGACGCUCCCGUGUUCCUGUUCUUGAAGGACCUCACCGUCGAUCGCAUCACCUUUAGAUUCUCCACCGGGUUCCCUCCAGCCUUCACGAUCGAACUUCACGUCGUGCGCGUCGUGCAAUCGUUCGAGAAGCCGGAAGCUGAGGAAUGCGUGGUGCGGUUGCGAAAUUCGUGUUAAUGGUGAAGAAGCAAGGACAAACUCGUCUUGCACAGUAUUACGAGUUAAUGGUGAACAAUCAGAUUCUAUCUCACUCUAGAAGAAAGGCGAACCCUGGAAGGCGAAAUUGUUCGGAAAUGCCUCGCCCGUAGUGAUUACCAGGUGAAAGUGGCUCAGCUACAGCAGCAACAUCAACAAAAAUCAAGUACCAAUGCACAGCAGCAACAUCCAAUUUCACAUAUAUUUUAUCUUUAUGUGAACCCCACUAUUGGUGAGUACAGAUAAAAUACCAUAUGUACCCAAAAAGUCACCAAAGCAUGUUGAUGGAGAACAGUCUUCAAAGUCAACAGCCUCCAUAAAAUCAAAGGGAAAAGGCACUGAUAUUUCUAGGAAAUGCUUUGAGCCUUCGGAAGUGAAGGAGUGGGCCAUUGAUGACUUGAAUAAAACAAUUCAGUGGCUGGAAAGUCAAGAAGAAAAGCCAGAUCCAAGUGAGGUGACAAAAAUAGCUNCAGAGGGAAUUCUAACUUGUUUGCAANAUGCAAUUCAUUCUCUAGAGGAAAAACAGAUAUUUGAUGACAUGUCUUCAAUGGAGCAACAUGUCAUAAAGGAUGUUCGAGAGCAGUACGCUGGAGUUUUUUUAACCAUUUGUAGAUGAUUAAAUGAUUCAAUAUUACAUUUUGAGUUUAGAACUAUUUUAUGUGUAACUAUGUUAAAUAACUAUGUUAGGUAAAUAUAUUUAGGAACUUUGUUAGCUAAAUAUUAC